UGCCUCUUGGCCAAGUGGUUAAGGCAACGGACUUUGACUCCGUCAUCCUAGGUUCGAAUCCUAGAGGGGCAGCCA
rnacentral:tRNA from 1 species